rnacentral:rRNA from 1 species
CCUACGGGUGACAGCAGUGAGGAAUAUUGGUCAAUGGACGAGAGUCUGAACCAGCCAAGUAGCGUGAAGGAUGACUGCACUAUGGGUUGUAAACUUCUUUUAUCUGGGAAUAAAAUGUUCCACUUGUGGGAUUUUGUAUGUACCAUAUGAAUAAGGAUCGGCUAACUCCGUGCCAGCAGCCGCGGUAAUACGGAGGAUCCGAGCGUUAUCCGGAUUUAUUGGGUUUAAAGGGAGCGUAGGUGGAUUGUUAAGUCAGUUGUGAAAGUUUGCGGCUCAACCGUAAAAUUGCAGUUGAAACUGGCAGUCUUGAGUACAGUAGAGGUGGGCGGAAUUCGUGGUGUAGCGGUGAAAUGCUUAGAUAUCGCGCAGAACUCCGAUUGCGAAGGCAGCUCACUGGACUGCAACUGACACUGAGGCUCGAAAGUGUGGGUAUCGAACAGGAUUAGAUACCCUUGUAGUC